CGGCGAAAGCGGGUGACCCAAUUUAUGGGAGUUUAUUCAGGAGUGGAAGAAUUGAAGCUAUGUCGAGAAUCGAGGUGUUAACUCCAAAACCCAGAUUACUUUAAAUGGUACGGGCGAGUGGGUUUUGAGAGGGCCUGUCUGGCUCAAGUAUUUCCCGCACGUCGAUUGCCUCCUGUCCAUCUAUGGCGGCUCACCAGGGAUCACAUCAGAAUAAAAUGUUUCGGCAGCGUGGGAGAAGAAGGAACGAAGCGUUUGUCUGUUAAGGCAGGUGUGUAAACGGGUGUUGGAGAAUAGAGGGGGAGAAAGAAAGAGCACCAAAGAUUGCGUUGCACUGUGUUUUUCUUUUCGAGAAAGUGCGUGUUUGUACCCGAUCAACUCCGUCGUAGAGACCUCCGGCAGUCUGAAGGCCAAGCUAAGGGACACCCGUGGCCUGCUGAGGAUUAGCUGUGUGUUCUUACUACUCUCCAGUCAAGAAAGAUGUUUCCUCUAACGUCACACAGGCCGACUGACCUACUCAAACUCAGCCAGAUAACAUCUGUACUCCACUGUUAAAGGGAAGUGUUUGCUUUUUCAGGAAGGCUCCACUACAGUCCAUGGUUCAGCUCAAUGGUGUUUGGAAAGCUUCAAGGCAAAAGGAGGCACUGUAGUACCAGAGAAGGCAAGAGUCCUUCUAUAAUAAACAACUUCCAGUCUGUUUUGCGGCUUAUCCCAUGACACUGCCUUUUGAACAUUGGAGCCAUUGGAGACAGCAUGGCUCCCCCCUGUACUGUAUAAUGCAUGCAGAUGGGAGGUCAUCUCAUGUGUUUUUCAGCGUGGUGUCAAAACAUGCCUUUCCGUUUUAACAUCCAGGUGUCCUGUUAGAAUUAAAGACUAGCAACAGAAUAUGCAGGACCAGUUAACAAAUUCUAGUUGAUUACAUUUACAAUUACCUAAAAGGGUAAGAUGAAGACUUGAAGAGAUUUAUGAAAUAUUUCCCAUCAGUUGCUCACAUAGCAUACCCUGCAGACAGUGCAGCAUGAAUGUAAGUGUACUCGUUCCAUUGUCAGACACAACGGCCCAAAACCCUUUUUGUGUGUUUUUCUGUUAACUGCUACUGUUGACAAACUGACCUUACAGCCUGACUGUCACAUAACUGCUACUGUUGACACACUGACCUUACAGGCUGUCACAUAACUGCUACUGUUGACACACUGAACUUACAGCCUGACUGUCACAUAACUGCUACUGUUGACACACUGAACUUACAGCCUGACUGUCACAUAACUGCUACUGUUGACACACUGAACUUACAGCCUGACUGUCACAUAACUGCUACUGUUGACACACUGACCUUACAGCCUGACUGUCACCUAACUGCUACUGUUGUCACACUGAACUUACAACCUGACUGUCAUAUAACUGCUACUGUUGACACACUGAACUUACAACCUGACUGUCACAUAACUGCUACUGUUGUCACACUGAACUUACAACCUGACGGUCAUAUAACUGCUACUGUUGACACACUGAACUUACAACCUGACUGUCACAUAACUGCUACUGUUGACACACUGAACUUACAGCCUGACUGUCACAUAACUGCUACUGUUGACACACUGACCUUACAGCCUGACUGUCACAUAACUGCUACUGUUGACACACUGAACUUAC
ensembl:lncRNA